ensembl:lncRNA
GUGGAAACGUAACGAAAACCGAAACAGCCCUAUCUGGUGAAAACACAGAGACAGGAACAAUCACCCACAAACACACAGUGAAACCUCCUAGCCACGGCAACCCUACUUAAUAACACGGGACAGAGGGGCAGCUCGGGACAGAGGGGCUGCUCGGGACAGAGGGGCAGCUCGGGACAGAGGGGCUGCUCGGGACAGAGGGGCAGCUCGGGACAGAGGGGCAGCUCGGGACAGAGGGGCAUCUCGGGACAGAGGGGCAGCUCGGGACAGAGGGGCAUCUCGGGACAGAGGGGCAGCUCGGGACAGAGGGGCAGCUCGGGACAGAGGGGCUCUUCAGACUCCGACAGCACAGGAGAGGAGGAAGGCUCUGGCAGAUCCUGGCUGACUGGCGGAUCUGGAAGAGUCUGGCUGACUGGCGGAUCUGGAAGAGUCUGGCAGACUGGCGGAUCUGGAAGGGUGUGGCAGACUGGCGGAUUUGGAAGAGUCUGGCAGACUGGCGGAUCUGGAAGAGUCUGGCAGACUGGCGGAUCUGGAAGAGUCUGGCUGACUGGCGGAUCUGGAAGAGUCUGGCAGACUGGCCAAUCUAGAAGAGUCUGGCUGACUGGCGGAUCCUGGCUGACUGGCAGAUCUGGAAGAUUCUGGCGGAUCCUGGCUGACUGGCAGUUCUGGCAGAUCCUGGCUGACUGGCGGAUCCUGGCAGACUGGUGGAUCCUGGCAGACUGGCGGAUCCUGGCUGGCUGGCGGAUCUAACUGAUCCUGGCAGACUGGCGGCACUUGCGGCGCUGGACAGACUGGCGGCACUGGGCAGACUGGCGGAACUGGCGGCGCUGGGCAGACUGACGGCACUGGCGGCGCUGGGCAGACUGACGGCACUGGUGGCGCUGGGCAGACUGGCGGCACUGGAAGAGUCUGGUUGACUGGCGGAUCUGGAAGAGUCUGGUUGACUGGCGGAUCUGGAAGAGUCCGGUUGACUGGCGGAUCUGGAAGAGUCCGGUUGACUGGCGGAUCUGGAAGAGUCAGGCUGACUGGCAGAUCUGGAAGAGUCUGGCUGACUGGCAGAUCUGGAAGAGUCUGGCUGACUGGCAGAUCUGGAAGAGUCUGGCUGACUGGCGGAUCUGGAAGAGUCUGGCUGACUGGCGGAUCUGGAAGGGUCUGGCAGACUGGCGGAUCUGGAAGGGUCUGGCAGACUGGCGGAUCUGGAAGGGUGUGGCAGACUGGCGGAUUUGUAAGAGUCUGGCAGACUGGCGGAUCUGGAAGAGUCUGGCAGACUGGCGGAUCUGGAAGAGUCUGGCUGACUGGCGGAUCUGGAAGAGUCUGGCAGACUGGCCGAUCUAGAAGAGUCUGGCUGACUGGCGGAUCCUGGCUGACUGGCAGAUCUGGAAGAGUCUGGCGGAUCCUGGCUGACUGGCAGUUCUGGCAGAUCCUGGCUGACUGGCGGAUCCUGGCAGACUGGUGGAUCCUGGCAGACUGGCGGAUCCUGGCUGGCUGGCGGAUCUAACUGAUCCUGGCAGACUGGCGGCACUUGCGGCGCUGGACAGACUGGCGGCACUGGGCAGACUGGCGGAACUGGCGGCGCUGGGCAGACUGAUGGCACUGGCGGCGCUGGGCAGACUGACGGCACUGGCGGCGCUGGGCAGACUGGCGGCACUGGAAGAGUCUGGUUGACUGGCGGAUCUGGAAGAGUCCGGCUGACUGGCAGAUCUGGAAGAGUCUGGCUGACUGGCAGAUCUGGAAGAGUCUGGCUGACUGGCGGAUCUGGAAGAGUCUGGCUGACUGGCGGAUCUGGAAGAGUCUGGCUGACUGGCGGAUCUGGAAGAGUCUGGCUGACUGGCGGAUCUGGAAGAGUCUGGCUGACUGGCAGAUCUGGAAGAGUCUGGCUGACUGGCAGAUCUGGAAGAGUCUGGCUGACUGGCGGAUCUGGAAGAGUCUGGUUGACUGGCAGAUCUGGAAGAGUCUGGCUGACUGGCGGAUCAUGGCAGACUGACUGAUCUGGCUGCUCAACGCUGACUGGCGG